rnacentral:rRNA from 1 species
GCGUGAUGCGUAGCCCUUGCUUGGGUGAUGUUGGUGAUCCUGGACUGCCGAGAAAAGCCUCUAGCGAUGUGCGUAUACGGCCCGUACCCAUAACCGACACAGGUGGUCAGGUAGAGAAUACUAAAGCGGUCGGGUGAACUGUGGUUAAGGAAUUCGGCAAAAUGCCCCCGUAACUUCGGGAGAAGGGGGGCCUCACGGCGUGAGCACUCUUUGCGGUGUUAAGCGUUGUGGGGUCGCAGAGAAUAGAGGGAAGCGACUGUUUAUCAAAAACACAGGUCCGUGCGAAGACG